AUGUACACCGCAAAUUGCAAG
rnacentral:snRNA from 1 species